rnacentral:rRNA from 1 species
GGCACUUUAAUGAGACUGCCGGUGACAAACCGGAGGAAGGUGGGGAUGACGUCAAGUCCUCAUGGCCCUUAUGGGUAGGGCUUCACACGUCAUACAAUGGUCGGUACAGAGGGUCGCUAACCCGCGAGGGGGUGCCAAUCUCAGAAAGCCGAUCGUAGUCCGGAUCGUAGUCUGCAACUCGACUACGUGAAGUCGGAAUCGCUAGUAAUCGCGGAUCAGAAUGCCGCGGUGAAUACGUUCCCGGGUCUUGUACACACCGCCCGUCACACCAUGGGAGUGGGUUUCACCAGAAGUAGCUAGCCUAACCGUAAGGGGGGCGGUUACCACGGUGAGAUUCAUGACUGGGGUGAAGUCGUAACAAGGUAGCCGUACCGGAAGG